GUUUUACGCAGAGCCACUGAAAUUACAAAUGAGCAACUUAAAAACAAAAAAUAAUAAACGCGGUUAGUCUACACGAGUUCAGCAAGACGGCAUCCUCUCCCAAGAAUGAAAGAAGCCUGGAUACCUCUUCAUAAUGCCCAGUUUUCCUGGCCCCCUCACCCUCCAUUGAGCGUGCCUCUCCAGCCGCUGGCCCAGGCCCAGGCCCAGGCCCAGGCCCAGGCGCUCUCCUCCCGUUCGGUCCUCCUGAAUGUGACCUGGCCACAAGGCACUCUGCUCUGACUCGGCUGCUAUUUGUCGUGAAGGGGUGAUGGAUUGUCGCGCUCCUCGCAGCAUCAAGCCCCGUCCACGCUGCUUCGGCGGUGUCUCCACCAGCCGACCAUGGAAAAUGAAGGUCAAGCAUUUUCCACAUUAGCAGCUUUACCAGGAGGGUAGAAAUGGAUAUCUGCUGCAAUUACCCUUCACCCCCUCCACCUCCAACCCACUGAAAAAAACUGCUCCACACAUGUAUCUCCCAAAACUGAUGGUUCUCUUCAACACGCUUUCAUAACAGACAAGAGAAUGAUGCAGAGGCAAUAUUAGAUGAGGUAUGUUAGAAAUUGGGGAAAAGGUGAGACAGGCACCUCUGAGUUCAUGCCAACUGUCUGGCACCAAACGAACUUCCAAGCAGUUAACCAUCUAAAUCCGGUGUGUGCAAUUUUCAAACACACAGUAAACCUCCUGAAGCCUCUCCUGUCUUACUGUAAAGAAAAUAUACCGUUUUUCACCACUUAAGAGGCUACACUGAAUCCAUUCCUUUCACUUUAUUUUUUUUUAAAUUUACGAGUGUCUACUGCAUCAUAUAAAAGAGCUUUUACUUUUGUAGCAGGGCCUGUAAAAAUGCUGUUCACACAUAUGCAGGAAGCAUUUUACUGCUUUAACGGCCUCCGAAGGGUCACUUCUCUUUCAAUGAAGUAUCCACAAACAGCUUAUGAUAUUCAUAAGGCUGAAAGUAAAGACAUGUAUGUCUAAAUGUUGUGUAAA